AACACACACAAGACCCGUAAUACAUGCAGAUGGGAGCGGUGUGAGGGAGCGAUGAGCAGGGAAUCCUUGUGCAGAGCUUUGGUCCAGGCCUGGGCUGAUCGCUGGCAGGACCAUUCCUCAUCCUGAUACCGCAUGGAGGUUGCAUUCACAAUGAAGCAUUUGAAAGCCCAUUAGCUCCACUUUCCAGCAUCGUAAAGCCAACAGCAACCUGAUAUCAUCAGUAACAGUCCACGAGAAGAUGACAGCCAGACGACAAGUGAGAUGUGGACAGACUAAAGGAGCUGAGAGAACGAAGAGAUAUCGGUGAUGGGAACAAAUUGAAACAAAAUGGCGGGCGAUACGCUGCGAGGAGAUGCUUGGGGAGAUGCCAUGCGGGCCAGUGGUGAGAAUUUACAGCAUGAGACGCAUCAUCAUGGGUCGUCUUAGAUAAUGAUCGCUUUUGAGAAGCAAUCCUCGACAUUUUACUUAUGCUGUUUCGGCAAUGGGAAAAGAACAGCAAUACACCUGUUGAGAGUCAUUUACAGUGACAUUUAAAGAUCUUUCAGCUCAUGAAAAGCUCCUUUUCAGUUAUAAUUUGAAAACCAUUAAAGUUCACCAGACGUGACCUGUGUCCUCAGUCUCCACGUCUUCAUAAUGUUCUGCCCGCGAAGCCCUGAGGGAGGCGACAGCGGUUUCAAAGUGAAACGGCUCCUGCUGCAAUCUGUGCUCCAUAUGUCAUUAAGCCCAUUAGGGAAACACUUGGUUAACAUUAGAGCCAGAGUACCAGCCUUUGCUAUGGGAACAGUCGUGGGUCGACAUAAAAGCGGCGUCUCACUUGGUCUCGCUUCCUCUCUUUGUCUGGCUGCCUGUAUUAACUAGCCAUUGUCUUGUUUUUCACCCUCACCACUAUGCUUUCUGAAAUGCAUCCUCCAUUUCCUCACUGUGAGUCAUUUCUCUUUCACUCAGCUCUUUUUUUUUCUGCCUUCAACCUUCACUGGUUAUACAUUUUGCCACUGGGGGCAGUAGAAGAAAAGAUGUUGGUUUUGUUUGAACAGCAUUUAGACAGUACUCUUUGUCAGUGUGGAGUAAUGACAGCCUGUGUAAAUGACCUUCCUUUCACUGGCAUGGAAUGUUUUGUUGCUCCCUUUCCAUUGUAUCCCUGCAUGAUACUUCAAACAGAAAAAUUUAGACUUUCGUGACACUGAGUAGUCUUCGUGGUCAACAAAUCAUAAAUUUUGCUGGACUCAGGUGAUAGAAGUAAUCAAAAAAAAAAGAAAAAGAAAAACAGCCUAUCAUAAUGUUCUCUUGAGGAAACCAGGAAACCGAUAUGGCAUUUUCACCUAGAGGUCAGGUGGAGGUCAGCAUUGAGUGUCAUGCCCCUGCUCUACACCCCCCAACACACACGCCCCUCCCUUCCCUUCUCUGCCUCCUUCUCCAUUCCUGUGACAAAGAGAGCCAGUUCGGUUGCCAAGGAAACAGGCUUUUUCCAUGGCGAUGCUGGAACACGUGGGAAGGGCAGGGC